AGAGUUUGAUCGUGGCUCAGGACGAACGCUGGCGGCGUGCUUAACACAUGCAAGUCGAACGAUGAUGCGGCGCUUGCGCCGUUGAUUAGUGGCGAACGGGUGAGUAACACGUGAGUAACCUGCCCCCUUCUUCGGGAUAACGGUCUGAAAGGGCUGCUAAUACCGGGUAUUCACUGGUCUCCGCAUGGGGGCUGGUGGAAAGGGUUUUUUCUGGUGGGGGAUGGGCUCGCGGCCUAUCAGCUUGUUGGUGGGGUGAUGGCCCACCAAGGCUUUGACGGGUAGCCGGCCUGAGAGGGUGACCGGUCACAUUGGGACUGAGAUACGGCCCAGACUCCUACGGGAGGCAGCAGUGGGGAAUAUUGCACAAUGGGCGCAAGCCUGAUGCAGCGACGCCGCGUGAGGGACGGAGGCCUUCGGGUUGUGAACCUCUUUCGCCCGUGGUCAAGCCGCGACGUGGGUCGUGGUGAGGGUAGUGUAAAGAGC
rnacentral:rRNA from 1 species